CUUGCCUCACGCGCCACACUUGACAGGCGCGGGCUGCUAGACGGCUGGGGCUCAGAAGGGAUCAUAUAUGGAAUUGCCAGCGUGUCUCCCCCCAGAAGUGUUGUGCAGCGAGGGACUUCGAGUACAAAAUGUCAGACCACCAAGAGUCCACGUGUUGAGGAGAAUACUGUGGAAAGAUCCUGAGUUGUGGGAGUAUAAUGGAAAGCUCUUCAGGAAUUUAUAACGUCUUUUAAGUUCUACGAGCUUAUUGUUGAGAAUCCAGAUGAAUGUGUCGAUGGAAAUAAAAUUAGAAUGUGGAGCAGAUGAAUUGUAAACACAAACACUAAAGCAAUGAAUGAUAAAAAUACUAACGCUA